UUUGAGGAUCUUCCAAUUGGGCUUCAUUCUUUGGGCCAUUCGAGUUGGGCUGAACUUUUUGUGUAUCAACAGUAUUAUAAAUUCAUGUACAUAUCAUUGAAUAAAACUUAUAUAGGAUUAGUCAUAUCCUAAAUAUGUCUUUAUGAUAUCAGAGCCAACGUCCCUAUAACCUAAGUAUCAAUGGCUGACUCCAUCGUCAAUAGCAAAGAGUCAAUCUUCGAAACAUCUCAACUUGGAACAGAGGCAAAAUCUUCAAUGGGAUCCUAUGGACUCGAAAACUCGUCCUUCCAACUUACAGUCAAGAAACUCAACGGAAUUUUUUUUGAGAGUGGGCCCAGUCAAUUAAAUUGGUGAUAGAUGGAAAGGGUAAGCUUGGUUACCUUACCAGCGAGACAAAAAAAUUGGUGGACGCUGCCCUCCUUCAAAAGUCGAAAUCUGAAAGCUCAAUGGUGACAGCCGUGAAUUCCAUGAAGCCGUCCAUUGGGAAGACUUACCUGUUCCUUCCAACAACAAAGGAUGUAUGGGAAGCCGUGAAAGAAACAUAUUCCGACUCUGAAAACGCAUCACAGAUUUUUGAAAUUAAGACUCGCCUAUGGCAGACAAAACAGGGAUCAAGAGAAGUCAUGAAGUACCAUAUGGAAAUGGUUAACCUCUGGCAGGAACUCGAUUUAAGCUUCGAAGAAAAAUGGGAGUGCCCAGGCGAUAGUAGCAGAUACAGAAAGAAAGUGGAGAAUGAAAGAGUAUAUGAGUUUCUUGCUGGGCUGAAUCGCUAUUUAGAUGAUGUGAGAGGCCGGAUUCUUGGCCGGCAACAGCUACAUUUGACACGUGAGGUAUUUGCAGAAGUACGCCCGAAAGAGACGCGAAGACAGAUUAUGCUGAAGGAGGCGACUGAAGAAAGCGAGAUUUCGGACUUGUCUGUGAAGGGUAAUGGGCCAGGAUUUUUUAAAGCUAAUGGGCCUACAAGUUAGGUCCGAAAUUGGGCCUUUAUUUUUAAAAGGCAAUGGGUUCAAAAGUGGACCCCUUUCUUCAAAAAUUAAUGGGUCAUAAAUAGAAGCUAAUUAUGGGUUAGGAUGAGGACCAACACUUGGAAAUGGAUUGGGAAUGUUAGGCCGAUCAUCUCGGGGAAUGAAAAAUGGGUCAAUUCAUAACCAACAACGGGGACGACCCUAGUGUGAACACUGUCAUAGGCCGGGACACAAAGAAGAUACUUGUUAGAAAAUAAAUAGAAAGCCCGUAGAUUGGAAACCAAGACAAAAGGCUAAGAGCCGAGGAUAUCAAGCCGAGACAACAAUUAAUUCCUCUCCAAAUGGUGCAUUCAGUUCUGAACAAAUGGAGCAACUCUAUCAAAUGUUCUCCAGCCUCCAAACAUCUAGUCAGUCUUCUACACACAAUCCGUCAAGUUCAUUAGCCCACAAAGGUAAUCUUCGAAAAGCUUUAAGCAAUAUCAUACAAUCCUAAGUUCCCUGGAUCAUUGACUCCGGUGCGUCCGAUCACAUAACGGACUCCCACCACCUGUUCUCCACAUAUUCGCCAUGUGCUAGUAACCUAAAAGUCAAAAUUGCUGAUGGCUUACUCUCUCCAGUAGGGAAUAUUAAAAUUUCUCAUUCAAUUAUGCUCGAAUCUGUUCUUCAUGUUCCAAAACUGUUUUGCAAUUUGUUAUCCGUUAGUCAAUUGACAAAAAAUUCUAAUUGUUUUGCUAAAUUUUUUCCUUCUCGCUGUGUUUUUCAAGACUUAUCAUCGGGGAAGACGAUUGGCAGUGGUAAGGAGUGUGAGAGACUCUACUACUUUGACGAGAUUGAUGUGAGUAAACAACGCCAAUUUGCUAGCUUUGAUUCUGCAUUUGUCCCUAAGAGUAGUGAAAUUUUGUUAUGGCAUUAUAGAUUGGGUCACCCCAGUUUUCAAUAUUUGAGGCGUGUAUUUCCUUUCAUAUUUUCAAAUAAAACUCAUGAUAAUCUUCAUUGUGAAUUUUGUGAACUGACAAAACAUUAACGCUCCUCCUUUCCAAACUCAAUAUGUAAACCUUCUAAACCAUUCACUAUGAUUCACAGUGAUUUAUAGGGCCCCUCACAAACCCCUAAUCGUACCCACACAAAAUGGUUUAUUACGUUUAUCGACGAUCAUACUUGAAUCUGUUGGGUCUAUCUACUUAAAGAUAAAACUGAUGUUCGUUCUGUGUUUAUCAAUUUUCAUUUAAUGGUCCAAACUCAAUUCCAAACCCGAAUUCAAAUUUUACGCACAGAUAAUGACACAGAAUAUGUCAAUAACACUCUAAGAAACUAUCUUUAAGAAAAUGGGAUAAUUCACCAAAAUUCUUGUGUCAAUACUCCCCAAUAAAACGCAGUUGCUGAACGAAAGAACUGACAUCUUCUUGAAGUUGCUCGUGCCUUAAUGUUUACUAUAAAUAUGCCAAAAAUAUUCUGUGGGAGAUGCCAUAUUGACAUCGGCCUAUCUCGUAAAUAGAAUGCCAAGUCGCAUUCUUAAAUUCGAAUCUCCCGUCUAAAAAUUCCAAAAAAUCUUUCCUAACUCUCACCUUAACUCAAACUUACGGUUAAAAGUGUUUGGAUGUACAACAUUUGUCCAUAUCCAUUCUCAUCAAAGGAAUAAAUUAGAUCCUCGGGCACUUAAGUGUGUACUGAUCGGAUACUCACCUACAAAAAAAGGCUAGAAAUGCUAUGAUUUUAUCACAAAACGGGUUCUUUUUAGUUUUAACAUCACAUUCCUUGAGAAAAUUACUUAUUUUCAAAGAACCUCUCUUCAGGGGGAAAAUCCAAGUGAAGAUCAGUUCUUGAAAAUUGAUAUUUCUCCCACAUUUGACUCUAUCCCUCAGACUCCAACACCAUCUUGUUCUAACAUGCCAUUUACAGAACGUAACUUAAACUCAGAGGGAGAUGGAAAGAAUCAUGACAAAGAAAUAAUAGUUUACUCAAGAAAACCAAGAUCAAGGUACAAUGACAACCUAACACCUGAAGCACCUAGAGAGCCGGAACCGAUGCUAGUUCCAGAUCAGCAUGAGCAUUCUGUUGAAACUUCUAACAUGAAUCUGCCUAUUGCUCUCAGAAAACAAACUAGGUCAUGCACACUCCACCCGUCUCAAAAUUUAUAGCUUAUAAUACCCUUUCUACAUGGUUCCUUGCUUUUGUUUCUAACCUUGAUAAUACAGAAAUUUCGAGAGAUGUCCAGGAAGCUUUGGAAACACCCAAAUGGAAAGAAGCCGUCAUGGAAGAAAUGAAGGCGUUAGAAAAAAAAUGAAACUUGGGAAGUGACGGAGUUCCCGAAGGAAAAAGACCCGUUGGAUGCAAAUGGAUUUUUAAUGUGAAAUAUAAAGCUGAUGGAACUAUAGAACGGUAUAAAGUCCGUCUGGUUGCAAAGGGAUAUACCCAGACCUAUGACAUAGGUUACAUAGAAAUAUUUGCACAUGUAGUAAAGUUGAACACAAUUCGAGUCAUCCUAUCAUUAGCUGCCAAUCUGGAUUGGCCUCUCCAACAAUUUGAUAUCAAGAAUGCAUUCCUGAAAGGGGAACUAGAAGAAGAAGUUUUCAUGACACUACCAUCAGGUUUUUGUGAAAGGAAUGAAGAAAAUAAAGUAUGUAAACUAAAAAAAUCCUUUAUGGCCUCAAGCAGUCACCAAGAGCGUGGUUCGAUAGAUUUGCAAGAGUGUUGAGAAACACGGAUAUCGAUAAGGAUAGUCUGAUGACACCAUGUUUUUUAAACUAUUUGAAGAUGGGACAAAGACAAUACUAAUUGUAUAUGUUGACGACAUAAUUCUAACAUGAGAUAAUACAAUUGAGAUGGAAAGACUAAAGGAAAACUUUGCCACAGAUUUGAAGUGAAAGAUUUGGGACCUAUGCGAUAUUUUCUUGGAAUGGAAAUUGCCAGAUUAAGAAGGGGUAUCAGUAUUUCACAAAGAAAAUGUCUUGGACCUCCUAAUUGAAACAGGGAUGCUUGGAUGUAAACCCAGCGAUACUCCAAUAGAUGCAGGAAAAAGAUCAGAAGACUCUGGAGAACCUGUUGAGAAGGACAGAUACUAACGACUAGUUGGGAAACUAAUAUACCUAUCGUACACUAGACUAGAUAUUGCAUUCGUAGUUAGUGUGGUAAGCCAACAUAUGCAUUCUCCAAAGAAAGCUUAUCUAGAAGCAGUAUACGAAAUUCUCAGAUAUCUAAAAAGUACUCUGCGCAAAGGACUCUUCUUUAAGAAAAAUGAAAAGAGGGGAGUAGAAAUAUUUACUGAUGCCGAUUGGGCAGGAUCAAUAGAGGAUAGAAGAUCGACUACUGGCUAUUGUACUUUUGUAUGGAAAAACUUGGUAACCUGGAGAAGUAAGGAGCAGAAUGUAGUAGCCAGAAGUAGUGCUGGUGCUGAAUUUAGAGCAGUUGCUCAAAGAAUGUGCGAGGGACUGUGGUUAAAAAAACUCUUAGAAGAACUACAAGUUACAAUGAAACUUCCAAUCAAACUAUAUUGCGAUAAUAAACCAGCUAUAAACAUCUCUCUCAACCCUGUUCAGCAUAAUCGAACCAAGCAUAUAGAAGUGGAUAGACAUUUCAUCAAAUCAAAGGUUGAGGACGGAACUGUAUGCAUGACCUAUGUCCCUACCAAAGAACAAACUGCAGAUGUAUUCAUCAAAGGGCUGCCUAAACAACAUUUCGAUGAUUUCAUCUGCAAGUUGGAAAUGAUUAACAUUUAUGAUCCAAUUUGAGGGGGAGUGAAGAAAUCCCGAAAUUAUGGGACUUUAUUAUUGUAUAUUAUGAUUGAUUAUAUACCUUGUUUAAAUAAAAAUUAGUUAGGCAAGUUUUUUCUUUCCUUUCUUAGGAGAUUAUCUUUCCUUUCAUGUUACCUUCAUUGUAUUAUAAAUUCAUGUACAUAUCAUUGAAUAAAACUCAUAUAGGAUUAUUCAUAUCCUAAAUUUGUCUUUACAAUGUAUAUGCUUUUUAAGUUUGUUAAUGACUAGAAAUUCUCAAUUUUAUUUGAAACUACUGAGAGAAAAGGCAAAUGGAAAAAUGAAUCUUGUAUUGCUCAACUUGAAUGAAAAUCUAGGGGUUGAUAUCAAUGAGUCGAUUGCUUAUGUGGAAGAGAUUGUCAGAUUGAGGUGGAAAGAAUUUCUUAAACAUUUUCUGAUGGAUGAAUUUGAUGAUUUUCCAAAACCAUGCAAGAAUCUUCAUCUGUCUUGUUUGAAAUCAUUUCAGAUGUUUUUUAACUCUUCCAACUUAUUUGAUUCUAACACAGCACUUUUAGAUGACAUUAAGAAAGCUAUUUACCUAUCUAUCUCAUGCCCGAACCUUUCUUGAAGCCUCUGCCAUAUCCAGUUCCUGCUAAGAAGGACAAUGUUACCAAACCCUAUCAUAACAAUUUUUUGUUUGUAGUUUUAUAAGUAGAAAAUUGAAGUGAAAUAAACAUAUAAUUCAUGUGUACAACAUAUGGCUCAUUACUAUAGAUUUCUAAGCUCAUAUGUUUUUUCCUUUCAUGUUUAUGAUUGACAGUGUUAUUAAUAUUCUUUUACCGUAUAAUUGUAAGACAAUGCAUUUUUAUUCGGUAACUUUUACUUUGGAAUGUCCGCAUCACGUAAAGCAAAAGUUGUAACACGGUAAAAGAAUUACUGGAAUGGAUGCCUAUAUUCAUUAAUUAAUUUGAUCUUCAUUUUAUUCUGGAUAUACUUUGGUCCUGUUUUUCUCUACUGUUGUUACUGUCGUUUCUCUUGCUUUAAUAGGUACUCCUUGUCAUGAUUGAUGUUGAAACCGACAAUGAGAAGCUUCUGAAACACCCAUCAUUUCAUUUGCGACCUCUGGGGAUAGAUCUUCCAGAAAAAAGAUUGAAAUGGGAAUGACAAGAUCGAUGAAUUCAGGAUAACUAAGCCGGGACAAAUUUUUUAACAAGGUUCAAGAGAUAGAGAAACAAUAUGAAAAACUCAAUAAGCUACUCAGAAAGCUUUAGGUAUUCAUUUGUCUACUGCUCCAGUAGUUUUUCAACCCUUGUGCAAGUGGUUUCCCAUCCAAAUCUAUAGCUACUGAAUUUUCCUCCAUUUAGUAUAGAGUUAGGUUCUUCUUGUUUCUGUAUCUUGUAAGUUCAAAUGCUAAAUCAAAGAAAUGUGAUAAUGGAGGAAAGGCUGGGAUUCUAUGUCAUUUCUACUGAUAUAAUCACAAUCUACUGAUGUUGUAUAGAAAUAUCUAUUAUAUGCAUAAGAAUGGACAUCAUCAUUCCUACCUUCUCUCGUAAUUUCACUCUUGAAUGAGAAGAAAAAUUUGUUCUCUAAAGUUUGGAUCAUCUUGACAAUUACUAGCAGUCUAAGGUCAAUAUGUUAAACAUAUCAUAUCGUCCACUAUUUUUGGCUAUCCUGUUUCUCUUUUCUUUUAGUCUUGGGUAAAUUAGUUUGUGCUUUCUUCCUUGUAUGUCCUUGAUGUACUAGGAGCAUACUUCUAGGUGGCAAAUCGUACUCUAAAUGAUUAUAUAUCAUAAAAUUAAUAAGAUAAAACAGAAGCACAACUUUUAAUUGGAACUCUCAAUGUGGGUUCCCGAAUGUUUUUAAGACAAUUUUCAUCUCAUAAUAAUGAUAAGAUCUGCAAUUUCACUGCACGAUGCUCAUGAGGAAUCCAAGGCUGCUACCAUGAAAGGUAUACUAAUUCCAUUUGAUCAUAAGUUUGCUUUAAUAUGUGUUGCAGAAAAUAAGCUUUACAUAAUAUCUCGAACCUUUGAAUUUGGCAAAUGUAUAUGAUACUGAAAAUAACGAUAUGUUAUUUUAUAGCUAUGGUGACAAAAUCCCAGGACCACCAUUUAAAGAUCAACCGAAGACAUUACUAGAAUGGAACAUGCUAAUUAGUUUGUUAAUAUUUGGAGUUAACAUUAUUGUUUAAUUUAAUUUAAUUU